GAAAUGCGAUAAGUAAUGUGAAUUGCAGAAUUCAGUGAAUCAUCGAAUCUUUGAACGCACCUUGCGCUCCCUGGUAUUCCGGGGAGCAUGCCUGUUUCAGCCUCAGUAGACAACCUCCAAGAAUCGCCUUGUUUGGCCGAUUUUCGGGAUCUGAGUCCGUCUCGCGCGCGCGCACACCGCGCGGCGGCGAGUGACUUGAAACGUAUUCCUGGGGCCGGGGGGCCGCCGAAUCAAAGCGACACUAGUUGAAGGAGGAAGAAGGGCCCCGCCUUUUUUCUUUUGUUUUUUUCAUCUGACCUCCGCUUUGGCGCGCCCAACGGAAAAAAUAAUCCCCCCCCAGCAGUUGACAGGAAAAAUCCCGGGGGAGAAACCCUCCCCCGCGCAAUCUUGAGCUGAAAUC
rnacentral:misc_RNA from 1 species